GAGUUGACGAGUAUCCGUGUUUCUUUGAUGAUACUACAUGUUUCAAUGCAAGCGAUGUAUGUGAUGGAAAAUAUGACUGUCCUAGUGGUGUAGACGAAUACAACUGUACAGGAUGUUUUGCCUGUAGUAAUACCUCGACAUGUCUGAGUGACCUUCAAGUCUGUAACUUCUAUAAUGAUUGCCCAGCAGGAGAAGAUGAAACAGAGGGUCUCUGCAACCACUCUCGAUUCAUCAAAAAUGUUGAGAUUAAGACCGGAGAGUGGGAGCUCUUUAGUGAAGAAUAUGUAUCAGAGAGGAUUCUUGAUGUUCGUGAUACACCAGCUAGUAACAUCUAUGAUUUUAUUCAUUAUGGCUUCAACUCAGAUCCUGGAACCUCACUGUAUAUGGAG